UAGUCAUAUGCUUGUCUCAAAGAUUAAGCCAUGCAUGUCUAAGCACAAGCCGAUUAAUGGUGAAGCCGCGAAUGGCCCAUUACAACAGCCAUAGUUUCUUAGAUCUUACUUUUCUACUUGGAUAACUGUGGUAAUUCUAGAGCUAAUACACGCAAACAAGCUCAGACCUUACGGAACGAGCGCAUUUAUUAGAACAAAAACCAAUCGGGCUUCGGUCCGUCAUUUGGUGAAUCUGAAUAACUUUGCUGAUCGCACGGUCUUCGUACCGGCGACAUAUCUUUCAAAUGUCUGCCUUAUCAACUUUCGAUGGUAGUUUAUGCGCCUACCAUGGUUGUAACGGGUAACGGAGAAUAAGGGUUCGACUCCGGAGAGGGAGCCUGAGAAACGGCUACCACAUCCAAGGAAGGCAGCAGGCACGCAAAUUACCCACUCCCGGCACGGGGAGGUAGUGACGAAAAAUAACGAGACGGCUCGCUAUGCGGUCCGUCAUCGGAAUGGGUACAAUUUAAAUCCUUUAACGAGGAUCUAUU
rnacentral:rRNA from 1 species